rnacentral:misc_RNA from 1 species
GAACGCACCUGGCGCUCUCUUGGACUUACAUCCGGAGAGCAUGCCUGUCUGAGGGCCGCGAAUUUCUUCGAACGACAGCUUUGCUUGCAGAGUUGGCGGAUCGGUACUGAGGCUUGCCAUUUGCACUGGCUGCUUCGAAAUACAUCAGCUGGACUGUACAUGCUAGAGAGCAGAAGGAUAUACGUCCCUCUCCCUCCGGAUUUUGAUAAUUAUCAAAACACGGACGUGAUGGAAACUUCUUUUGCUUGGGCGUGAACGCUGGCUUCUUAAAACCGCCCCACUGCUUUUGGCAGAGGGGAUCUAAUUCAAACGGCCUCAGAUCAGGUAGGACUACCCGCUGAACUUAAG